ensembl:lncRNA
GGAACUGCUCUGCAAGGCCAAUUCAUGCACUAUGGAGUAGGACAAUGCAAGUCAACCAGAAUAAUUAAUAAUUAAAUGAUUUGUUAGGACAGUGAAAAAAAAGGCCACCAGACUGGAGCCAGACACUGCAAAACCAGCAGCUGGUUCCUGCUGGAUAAUAAGACAGAUAGACACAAAGCAGUGUUUAAGAAAAUAGCACAGUAGGAUGGUCCCUUUUCCCAAAAUGUCUUCACCUAGCACUGGACCUGGAUAGAAAUCGAAAUGCAAGGCAACAUUCAUUCAUACAAAAUAAUAUGAAGGCAGUGAAGACAAGGACACAGCUUUGAAUGGGAGCGAGUCAGCUGGCAGCAGCAAGGGUACCCACACUGACACUCUUAAGGCUGAGCUUCACCAACAUCCCAAUGCUGGUGUCAGGGCCAACUUCAGGAGUCUGCCCAUCAGACCCCCAUGUAGGGCUCUUUCCCUGCCUGCAGUGGUUGUGGGUCCACUCUGUGAAUUAGAUCAGGCAUCUCUUCUGUUUGAAAAAUAAAGAUUAUAGAAUCAUAGAAUCAGAAUUGCUUAGGUUGGAAGGGACCUUAGAGCCCAUCAAGUUCCAGUGCCCUUGCCAUGGCCAAAGUUGCAACCCACUAGAUCAGGUUGCAUAGGGCCCUAUCCAACUGGAAGCUUCUUUUUCCAAAAAAGAAGCAAACAUAUAUUACAAAAUCACAGAAUUGUAAGUGUUGGAAAGGACCUCUGGAGAUCACCUAGUCCAACUCCCCUGCUAAAUCAGGAUUCCUAGAUUAGGUUGCAUAUUUUGGGUUUCCCAGGUCUAGAAGAGGACACAUGCUGUGAUGUGAGAGUGGGAAUAAAGUCUGGAGACAGAGUAGGGCUGCCUUGUGGAAGCAUUGCUAUUGAAGCCUCAGACCAAGUCUUUCACUGCAUGAAAAGUAUGAAGCACCUGAGCUCUGAGGGGUUUGAGCAGAUUUCAAGUUGUGCAGCUUUCCUACAUGCUCCUUGGUAGCUGGUUCAUGGCUCAGAUGCCUCCCCAGUAGAAACGAUCAUGAUGGCCACUUGAUGUGUUACAUGUGGGCUGAGGAUUUUGAGAAUCAGCUUGGAAACAAGCCACAGUUUAGCUGAAAGUGCUUUCAGAAUGGAUGUGACACGUGGACAAGUCUCUGAUUUGGAGAAUCAGACAAAGUUUUUCUACGACAACCCCUUGCUUUACUGGUAUCAGUUGUGCACAUGCCUGUGGAUAACACUGGGCAGACCUGGCCUCUGGCUUUUUCGGUCUGCUCCAGCUGUCACGUGAAAGCUGCUGUUACCUCAAGACACUCUACAAAUCAAAAGCAGCUCAUGAAAUAUGCCUGCAAAUUUUCAGGCCCACAGAUGUAUCUCCCUGAGUAUUUGCGCCACACACAACACAACUGAGGCUCAUCUUGAUUGCACCUUUUUUGCAUUACUGUCAAACAAACAAUGAAAGAGCUCUCAGCAGCAUCCUCCAAGGUAUUGCUGUCUGCGUGUCAUCUCCUCACUUGAUUUCUUCAGGUCGGCAAGACUGUACAAGCAAUCCUCUGCAGUAGCUUUUGUUUUAAAUUAAAGAUGCUACAAGACUAUUAUGUCAUGAGGCAUCACGAAAAAUACCCUUUCAGGAGAUUAGAUUGACACUUCCCCCCUGCAAGUACACAGUGCCACAGCUCCAUAUACUGCUGAUAUUUGUGUAGGCACCGCAUGAGGUCUUCGAGGGCAGGCAGAGAUGCACCGCUUUGUUCUCUCACCUGCACUGAGUAAAGGCUGUUAUCGGUGCUCAGUUUUGUUACGCUUGGAAGGAAAAUAAUACGAUGCAUUACAAGUCUGGUAGGUGAUGAGAAAAGAAAAUGGUUGUGCUCCUUUGUUUUAAAUAGGGGUUGUUUUGUGUGUAAGUGUCUGUGUCAGGGCAUGCAAAAGGAAUGAAUGUAGCCUGAUGAGGAGUGCGUAACUGUAGGGUUUAGGAGCCCUAAUUCCAACAUCCUUCUCUGCCACUGCAACAUGGUCUUUGGAUAAACACCACUGAACAAAUAGUAUUGCUGGUGGCAAUUUCAGGGCCACUUUUCUUCAUUGCCUAGGGGCCCAGCUGUCAAAGCAGGAUCCAGCAAGCACUUCAGCUGGUAUCUCUAGGGGUGAGACUUAAAGGAACCUGACCUUCACAGCAUCUGUUCUUGGCAAUAGAUGGUUUUCUGCGGUACCUUUUCCUGAGAUUGCUCUGAGUUCUCCCAUGCACAGCCAUGAAGCCAUGGGGAAAGUAUGUGACAAGAUCAGUUGCAUCCUCAUGCACCUUCCUAUAGUUUGCCUCUGAGGCAUGAACUGAAGGUAUGACUUGGCUGGAGUCCUGUGUUCUCCUAUUCAUACUGGAGGAAUAAUUGUAGGAUUACUGCUUUGGUACACCUACUGUUGUAUGGCAGAUGGGGCUAGGGGUAAAUUCAUGCCACAACCAGUACCACACAAAAAAGAAUAAACUAAGGACAGCUAACUACAAGUCCAGAGAUGAGAACAGCCAUAGGAAUGAGGUAAUGAUGUGGGGAGGUAAUUCUGCCUCAGCUGCGGGGUCUUCCAGAUAGCAUAGACUCCUAACUCUGCGCAUAGCCCUGGUUAGAGUGAGUAGCACAGCAGACUUAUCUGCAGGGUUGCAGCCCAUCUCCUGAUACAGCAGCACCGCUAAUUACCAGAGAUCUCCAGCAGCCAGAGUCACAUCUACAUCUUGGUGAGGUUACCUACUCACCAGGAACGAGAUGGUUUCUGACUGUCUCACAAAGAUCAGGUCAAAUGCACAAAGUAAAAGUCCUCCUGGCUGUUGCUGAGAUCUGGAAGGAGUUUCAUUUGGAAGAGAUCUCCUGUAAGUCAAACACAGGCUGCAUUUGGACAAUUAGCCUGCUCAGGAAGACCCCGAGGAGCACAUUAGGUGGUUAGACAGGCUGCUCUUGGUACUCCCAGCUUGAGGCCUGUGCCUGUGGGAUGCUGGCCUCUGAGAGGCAUGAGUGAGCAGGCAAUGAUGGACUAGAAUAGUG